GCAAGUCGAACGAGACUUCGGUCUAGUGGCGGACGGGUGAGUAACGCGUAGGAACCUGCCAAGCAGUGGGGAAUAACAGUUGGAAACGGCUGCUAAUACCGCAUACGCCCUUCGGGGGAAAGAUUUAUCGCUGUUUGAGGGUCCUGCGUUCGAUUAGCUAGUUGGUGAGGUAAUGGCCUACCAAGCCUACGAUCUAUAGCUGGUUUGAGAGGAUGAUC
rnacentral:rRNA from 1 species